rnacentral:rRNA from 1 species
AUUGAACGCUGGCGGCAUGCCUUACACAUGCAAGUCGAACGGCAGCAUGGAGAGCUUGCUCUCUGAUGGCGAGUGGCGAACGGGUGAGUAAUGCAUCGGAACGUACCGUGUAAUGGGGGAUAACGUAGCGAAAGUUACGCUAAUACCGCAUACGACCUGAGGGUGAAAGCAGGGGAUCGCAAGACCUUGCGUUAUACGAGCGGCCGAUGUCAGAUUAGCUAGUUGGUGAGGUAAAGGCUAACCAAGGCGACGAUCUGUAGCGGGUAUGAGAGGCUGUUCCGACAAACUGGGACUGGGACACAGCCCAGACUCCUACGAGAGGCAGCAGUGGGGAAUUUUGGACAAUGGGGGCAACCCUGAUCCAGCCAUGCCGCGUGAGUGAAGAAGGCCUUCGGGUUGUAAAGCUCUUUCGGCCGAGAAGAAAUCGCACAGGCUAAUACUCUGUGUGGAUGACGGUACCGGCAUAAGGAGCACCGGCUAACUACGUGCCAGCAGCCGCAGUAA